GUUGUAUAGUUAAGUGACUAAGCGUACAAGGUGGAUGCCUUGGCAAUCAGAGGCGAAGAAGGACGUGCUAAUCUGCGAAAAGCUUGGAUGAGUCGAUAAGAGGCGUUUAAUCCAAGAUAUCCGAAUGGGGAAACCCAGUAGAUGAAGAAUCUACUAUCAACAAGUGAAUUCAUAGCUUGUUGAGGCAAACCGGGAGAACUGAAACAUCUAAGUACCCCGAGGAAAAGAAAUCAACCGAGAUUUCGUCAGUAGCGGCGAGCGAAAGCGAAAGAGCCAGUAAGUGAUAGCAGUAUAGUUAGGAGAAUGUGUUGGGAAACACAAUCAAAGAGGGUGAUAAUCCCGUAUCUAAAAACCAUAUUGUGGUACUAAGCUAACGAGAAGUAGGGCGGGACACGUGAUAUCCUGUUUGAAGAAGGGGGGACCAUCCUCCAAGGCUAAAUACUCCUGAUUGACCGAUAGUGAACCAGUACUGUGAAGGAAAGGCGAAAAGAACCCCGGUGAGGGGAGUGAAAUAGAACCUGAAACCUUGUACGUACAAGCAGUGGGAGCGAGGGCAACCUUGUGACUGCGUACCUUUUGUAUAAUGGGUCAGCGACUUAUAUUUUGUAGCGAGGUUAACUGAAUAAGGGAGCCGAAGGGAAACCGAGUCUUAACUGGGCGAAUAGUUGCAAGGUAUAGACCCGAAACCCGGUGAUCUAGCCAUGGGCAGGUUGAAGGUUGGGUAACACUAACUGGAGGACCGAACCGACUAAUGUUGAAAAAUUAGCGGAUGACUUGUGGCUGGGGGUGAAAGGCCAAUCAAACCGGGAGAUAGCUGGUUCUCCCCGAAAUCUAUUUAGGUAGAGCCUUGAGCUUACACCUUUGGGGGUAGAGCACUGUUUCGGCUAGGGGUCCAUCCCGGAUUACCAACCCGAUGCAAACUACGAAUACCAAAGAGUGAUACUCAGGAGACACACGGCGGGUGCUAACGUCCGUCGUGGAGAGGGAAACAACCCAGACCGCCAGCUAAGGUCCCCAAGUCUAUAUUAAGUGGGAAACGAAGUGGGAAGGCUUAGACAGCUAGGAUGUUGGCUUAGAAGCAGCCAUCAUUUAAAGAAAGCGUAAUAGCUCACUAGUCGAGUCGGCCUGCGCGGAAGAUGUAACGGGGCUGAAAUAUAGCACCGAAGCUGCGGCAUCAGGCGUAUCACUAAUACGCCUUACGAUUAACAAGCUAGAAUGGCACGAAGCGUCAUGAAAGGUUGUUCAAGCAACCCGAACGUUGAGUCGGGCAUAUUUGAGUGAGGAUUAUUAGUGAUACGCCUGUUGGGUAGGGGAGCGUUGUGUAAGCGGAUGAAGGUUCAUCGAGAGGUGGGUUGGACGUAUCACAAGUGCGAAUGCUGACAUAAGUAACGAUAAAACGGGUGAAAAACCCGUUCGCCGGAAGACCAAGGGUUCCUGUCCAACGUUAAUCGGGGCAGGGUGAGUCGGCUCCUAAGGCGAGGCUGAAAAGCGUAGUCGAUGGGAAACAGGUUAAUAUUCCUGUACUUGGUAAAGCUGCGAUGUGGGGACGGAGUAGGUUAGGUUAUCGCACUGUUGGAUAUGUGCGUUUAAGUUGGUAGGUGGGAUGUUUAGGCAAAUCCGGACUUCCUUAACACAGAGAGAUGAUGACGAGGCUCUACGGAGCUGAAGUAACUGAUACCACACUUCCAGGAAAAGCCACUAAGCGAAAGGCUUUACUAAACCGUACUGAAAACCGACACAGGUGGUCAGGUAGAGAAUACUCAGGCGCUUGAGAGAACUCGGGUGAAGGAACUAGGCAAAAUAGCACCGUAACUUCGGGAGAAGGUGCGCCGGCGUAGAUUGUAAGGGCUAGCCCCUGAAGGUUGAACCGGUCGAAGAUACCAGCUGGCUGCAACUGUUUAUUAAAAACACAGCACUCUGCAAACACGAAAGUGGACGUAUAGGGUGUGAUGCCUGCCCGGUGCUGGAAGGUUAAUUGAUGGUGUCAUCGAAAGAGAAGCACCUGAUCGAAGCCCCAGUAAACGGCGGCCGUAACUAUAACGGUCCUAAGGUAGCGAAAUUCCUUGUCGGGUAAGUUCCGACCUGCACGAAUGGCAUAAUGAUGGCCAGGCUGUCUCCACCCGAGACUCAGUGAAAUUGAAAUCGCCGUGAAGAUGCGGUGUACCCGCGGCUAGACGGAAAGACCCCGUGAACCUUUACUAUAGCUUGACACUGAACAUUGAAUUUUGAUGUGUAGGAUAGGUGGGAGACUUAGAAGCAGUCACGCCAGUGAUUGUGGAGUCAUCCUUGAAAUACCACCCUUUAACGUUUGAUGUUCUAACGAAGAUGACGAAACGUGGUCUCGGACAGUGUCUGGUGGGUAGUUUGACUGGGGCGGUCUCCUCCCAAAGCGUAACGGAGGAGCACGAAGGUUUGCUAAUCACGGUCGGACAUCGUGAGGUUAGUGCAAUGGUAUAAGCAAGCUUAACUGCGAGACAGACAAGUCGAGCAGGUACGAAAGUAGGUCAUAGUGAUCCGGUGGUUCUGAAUGGAAGGGCCAUCGCUCAACGGAUAAAAGGUACUCCGGGGAUAACAGGCUGAUACCGCCCAAGAGUUCAUAUCGACGGCGGUGUUUGGCACCUCGAUGUCGGCUCAUCACAUCCUGGGGCUGAAGUAGGUCCCAAGGGUAUGGCUGUUCGCCAUUUAAAGUGGUACGCGAGCUGGGUUUAGAACGUCGUGAGACAGUUCGGUCCCUAUCUGCCGUGGGCGUUGGAUGAUUGAUUGGGGCUGCUCCUAGUACGAGAGGACCGGAGUGGACGCAUCACUGGUGUUCCAGUUGUCUCGCCAGAGGCAUUGCUGGGUAGCUAAAUGCGGAAGAGAUAAGUGCUGAAAGCAUCUAAGCACGAAACUUGCCAAGAGAUGAGUCAUCCCUGACUUUAAGUCAGUAAGGGUUGUUGUAGACUACGACGUAGAUAGGUCAGGUGUGUAAGUGUAGUGAUACAUUGAGCUAACAGAUACUAAUUGCCCGAGAGGCUUAACUAUACAACGCUCAAG
rnacentral:rRNA from 1 species